AUGCGUGGGAAAGUGUGUAUACACAGGUGUCUAUGUGUUUGUGUAUCUGUGUGUUUGUGUGUCUUUGUGCCUGUGUAUGUUUGUGUCUGUCUGUGUGUAUCUGUGCAUGCCUGUGUGUCUGUGUGUAUGUCUGUGUGUCUAUCUGUGUGUCUGUGUGUAUCUGUGUCUAUCUGUGUAUGUGUGUGUGUCUAUCUGCUUAUGUCUGUGUGUCUAUCUGUGUGUCUGCGUGUAUCUGUGUCUAUCUGUGUAUGUGUGUGUGUCUGUCUGCUUAUGUCUGUGUGUCUAUCUGUGUGUCUGUGUGUCUCUGUAUCUAUCUGUGUAUGUGUGCGUGUAUGUGUGUAUGUCUGUGUGUCUAUCUGUCCGUCUGUGUGUAUCUGUGUCUCUGUGUGUAUGUUUUUGUCUCCAUCUGUGUGUGUGCAUUUGUCACACACACAGCCUCACAUGCUUCACAUUAAAGGUCGUAAAGAACCAGUGUUUGUGUGUCCGUGUGUGUCCAUGUGUGUGUGUGUGUGUGUGUGUGUGUGUGUGUGUGUGUGUGUGUGUGUGUGUGUGUAUGUGUGUGUGUGUGUGUGUGUGUGUGUGUGUGUGUGUGCAGCGACCCUGUGCAGUAUGGAUACAGUAUUGACAUGUGACCGUGGACCUGUUGUGUCUGCUGAAUGCUUCAGCAUUCCUCCGCUUUGCCAGGAAAGGCAUAUUGUUUUUGAAUCGCAUUUAAGUGUUUCAUUCUGUGCGAGAAGGGAAACCUGUAGUGAUUUAAUACGUGUGUUUGUUUGUUCGUGUGUGUGUAUGUGUGUGUGUGUGUGUGUGUGUGUGUGUGUGUGUGUGUGUGUGUGUGUGUGUGUGUGUGUGUGUGUGUGUGUGUGUGUGUGUGUGUGUGUGUGUGUGUGUGUGUGUGUGUGUGUGUGUGUGUGUGUGUGUGUGUGUGUGAGAGAGAGAGAGAGAGAGAGUGUGCGUUUGCAUGAGUGCAUGUGUGUGUGUGUGUGUGUGUGUGUGUGUGUGUGUGUGUGUGUGUGUGUGUGUGUGUGUGUGUGUGUGUGUAUGUGUGUUUGUGUGUCCAUGUGUAAAGUGAUUUAA
rnacentral:lncRNA from 1 species